AAACUGAUCUUCCCGUGAAGAAGCGGGAAUAUAUAUAUAAGACGAGAAGACCCCAUGGAGCUUUAAACCCAACAGCACCUAUUCUUUUUAAACCCACCCAUUCAUAUAGUAAAUGCUUGUUUGUUUUAGGUUGGGGUGACCGCGGAGUAAAAAUUAACCUCCACGAAAAAGGGCAUAAAAGCCUUAUCAAAGAAUUACACUUCUAUGAAUUAGUAAACUAAUUUUUGAUGAUCCGAUAUUCGAUCAACGAACCAAGUUACCCUGGGGAUAACAGCGCAAUCCACCUCAAGAGCUCCUAUCGACAAGUGGGUUUACGACCUCGAUGUUGGAUCAGGGUACCCCAGUGGUGCAGCAGCUACUAAAGGUUCGUUUGUUCAACGAUUAAAACCCU
rnacentral:rRNA from 1 species